UACGUAGGGGGCAAGCGUUGUCCGGAAUCAUUGGGCGUAAAGCGCGUGUAGGCGGUCCGGUAAGUCCGCUGUGAAAGUCGGGGGCUCAACCCUCGGAUGCCGGUGGAUACUGUCGGGCUUGAGUACGGAAGAGGCGAGUGGAAUUCCUGGUGUAGCGGUGGAAUGCGCAGAUAUCAGGAGGAACACCGGUGGCGAAGGCGGGAUCCUGGGCCAGUACUGACGCUGAGGAGCGAAAGCGUGGGGAGCAAACGGG
rnacentral:rRNA from 1 species